GACGAACGCUGGCGGCGUGCUUAACACAUGCAAGUCGAACGGUGAAGGGACCAGCUUGCUGGUUCUGGAUGAGUGGCGAACGGGUGAGUAACACGUGAGUAACCUGCCCCCUUCUUCUGGAUAACCGCAUGAAAGUGUGGCUAAUACGGGAUAUUCUGGGUCUGUCGCAUGACGGGCCCGGGAAAGAUGCGCCUUUGGGUGUUUUUGGUGGGGGAUGGGCUCGCGGCCUAUCAGCUUGUUGGUGGGGUGAUGGCCUACCAAGGCGGUGACGGGUAGCCGGCCUGAGAGGGUGGACGGUCACACUGGGACUGAGACACGGCCCAGACUCCUACGGGAGGCAGCAGUGGGGAAUAUUGCACAAUGGGCGCAAGCCUGAUGCAGCGACGCCGCGUGAGGGAUGGAGGCCUUCGGGUUGUAAACCUCUUUCGCCAGUGAAGCAGGCCUGCUCCUUGUGGGUGGGUUGACGGUAGCUGGAUAAGAAGCGCCGGCUAACUACGUGCCAGCAGCCGCCGUAAAAC
rnacentral:rRNA from 1 species